rnacentral:rRNA from 1 species
GACGGAGGAUGCAAGCGUUAUCCGGAAUUAUUGGGCGUAAAGCGUUCGUAGGUGGCUGUUCAAGUCUGCCGUUAAAGACCGGGGCUUAACUCCGGAAAAACUGUGGAAACUGAACAGCUAGAGUAUGGUAGGGGUAAGGGGAAUUCCCGGUGUAGCGGUGAAAUGCGUAGAUAUCGGGAAGAACACCGGUGGCGAAGGCGCCUUACUGGGCCAUAACUGACACUGAGGGACGAAAGCUAGGGGAGCGAAA